rnacentral:rRNA from 1 species
GACGAACGCUGGCGGCGUGCUUAACACAUGCAAGUCGAACGGAAAGGCCCCCUUGUGGGGUACUCGAGUGGCGAACGGGUGAGUAACACGUGAGUAACCUACCCUUGACUUUGGGAUAACUUCAGGAAACUGGGGCUAAUACCGGAUAGGAGCUCCUGCUGCCUGGUGGGGGUUGGAAAGUUUCGUCGGUUGGGGAUGGACUCGCGGCUUAUCAGCUUGUUGGUGGGGUAGUGGCUCACCAAGGCUUUGACGGGUAGCCGGCCUGAGAGGGUGACCGGCCACAUUGGGCCUGAGAUACGGCCCAGACUCCUACGGGAGGCAGCAGUGGGGAAUAUUGCACAAUGGGCGGAAGCCUGAUGCAGCAACGCCGCGUGCGGGAUGACGGCCUUCGGGUUGUAAACCGCUUUCGCCUGUGACGAAGCGUGAGUGACGGUAAUGGGUAAAGAAGCACCGGCUAACUACGUG